UACGUAGGGGGCGAGCGUUGUCCGGAUUUAUUGGGCGUAAAGAGCGUGUAGGCGGCCAGGUAGGUCUGCUGUGAAAACUCGAGGCUCAACCUCGAGACGUCGGCGGAAACCAUCUGGCUAGAGUCCGGAAGAGGAGAGUGGAAUUCCGGGUGUAGUGGUGGAAUGCGUAGAGAUCCGGAGGAACACCAGCGGCGAAGGCGGCAUCCUGGACUGGUCCUGACGCUCAGGAGCGAAAGCGUGGGGAGCGAUCCGG
rnacentral:rRNA from 1 species